AGAAAUAAACCUUCAUUCAAGUAAUUUCUUUUGAAAUUGAAGAGCUUAGGAAACCCGAACUUUCUAAUUAAUUUAGCUUGAAUUUGAGCUACGAAUUGAAUACAACAACCAAAUUUUGAAGUAGACAACAACCAAGAACAAGAACCUCGAAAGUGAACCUGAACGACAUGCACCACCCACGGACAGAACCACUGACACUCAAGCUGAUUUUAUAUUGUAAAAUGAAAAUUGAAAUCCAAAGAAGAUGAUGGAGAUGAAGAAAUAGAAGAAGUCUGGUCACUGAUGAGAGGUGUUUUCCAGCGAGUUGGUUGAGUGUUAGAGAUGGUUGUAUCUGUGUGUCAGCGAGGUAUCAUUAUUGGCUUCUAGUCUUUUGAGAGGGAGUUCAUCAUUCCUAGGCAUGUGCACGGCUUUACAGCGGCCGAUUGUGGUGUCUUGGUGAAGGUGGGCAGGCUGCCGGCGACGUGAGAUAGUUUGGGUCGUUCAAAAAUGGGGGUGAUGUGAAAGACGAGAUACAUGGGUUGGUGUAUCAUAUUGCGGCUGGUGAGUGAUGAAAGAGCAGAGGUCGUUUGGUGGUCGAAAAAGCAGCAGCUGAUGGCGGUUAUGGAGGGUUCGAAGCGACUAUCUUUGUAUCUAAGGGUUCAGCCUUUGUGUUCUCUGUUGAAGAAGAAGAUAGCUCAUGGGUGAGGAGCUGGGCGCUGGCGGCUUAGGGUAUUUUUGUUUAUUAGGGUUCAAGAUAAAGAUGGGGGAGGGAGCGACGGCGCCGGAUCUGUGUAGUGGUCGUUGUGGUUGUUCAAGAAGUUGUUCAAAUGGUCUCUAAUGGUGGUCUAUAGGGUUUUGUUUUUG
rnacentral:lncRNA from 1 species